rfam:Salmo salar isolate Sally breed double haploid chromosome ssa16, whole genome shotgun sequence.
GCCACGUUGGUGCAGCAUGCAGCGCGUCAGUCUCAUAAUCUGAAGGUCGUGAGUUCGAUUCUCACACGGGGCA